GAUGAAGAACGUAGCGAAACGCGAUAGGUAAUGUGAAUUGCAGAAUUCCGUGAAUCAUCGAAUCUUUGAACGCACAUUGCGCCCCCUGGCAUUCCGGGGGGCAUGCCUGUCCGAGCGUCAUUUCUGCCCUCCAGCCCGGCUGGGUGUUGGGCGCUGUCCCCCCGGGGACACGCCCCAAAGGCAGUGGCGGCGCCGCGUCGGGUCCUCGAGCGUAUGGGGCUUUGUCACCCGCUCGGGACGGACUCGUCGGCGCUGGUCUUCCUCCAGGCGACCCUUCGGGGCUCGUCUUCCUUCGGUUGACCUCGGAUCAGGUAGGGUUACCCGCUGAACUUAAGCAUAUCAAUAAGCGGAGGA
rnacentral:misc_RNA from 1 species